GUCUGUAUAGAUUAUUUAAAUCAUGAUGCUGUUAACUUCAAGAAGGGAUGCGUCCCUACAGUCG
rnacentral:tRNA from 1 species